GCGGCUCGAGCGCUGCCGGUACUCGCUGGCUGAUCCGUGUCCCCCACCGGUCGGGAGUGUGCGGAGCUCCCCUCCCCCACGCCUUAUAAUUUAAUCACAUGAGAUAUUAAAUGAUCAAGCCGCUCAUUAAUCAUCACUCGAGUUAUUGGGAUUGAGCACGGCGCCUUGUGUUUUGACAGCCCAGAAUGGUUCACCCGGCUCCUGUUUUUCAGAAGGAUGAAUUUGACUGAAUCCUGGAUCUUCACUCACUGUGUGAUGGUGUGAAGUUGAGGUGUUUGAAAUACAGAUGGAGCCAUAUCAGUGAAGACAUUUCCAAGGAUGGCUUCCGUUAACUCCAGUGCGAUGAGGCUGUCUUGUUUUUCUGCACACUACAAAUGCAAAUAAAAGGGAAAAAAUUAAA